rnacentral:rRNA from 1 species
AACGAACGCUGGCGGCAUGCCUAACACAUGCAAGUCGAACGAGACCUUCGGGUCUAGUGGCGCACGGGUGCGUAACGCGUGGGAACCUGCCCUUAGGUUCGGAAUAACUCCCCGAAAGGGGUGCUAAUACCGGAUAAUUUCUUCGGACCAAAGAUUUAUCGCCUUUGGAUGGGCCCGCGUUGGAUUAGCUAUUUGGUAGGGUAAAAGCCUACCAAGGCGACGAUCCAUAGCUGGUCUGAGAGGAUGAUCAGCCACACUGGGACUGAGACACGGCCCAGACUCCUACGGGAGGCAGCAGUGGGGAAUAUUGGACAAUGGGCGAAAGCCUGAUCCAGCAAUGCCGCGUGAGUGAUGAAGGCCUUAGGGUUGUAAAGCUCUUUUACCCGGGAUGAUAAUGACAGUACCGGGAGAAUAAGCUCCGGCUAACUCCGUG